GACGAACGCUGGCGGCGUGCUUAACACAUGCAAGUCGAACGAUGAAGCCUAGCUUGCUAGGUGGAUUAGUGGCGAACGGGUGAGUAAUACGUGAGUAACCUACCUUUAACUCUGGGAUAAGCCUGGGAAACUGGGUCUAAUACCGGAUACGACCAAUCUCCGCAUGGGGUGUUGGUGGAAAGCGUUAUGUAGUGGUUAUAGAUGGGCUCACGGCCUAUCAGCUUGUUGGUGAGGUAACGGCUCACCAAGGCGACGACGGGUAGCCGGCCUGAGAGGGUGACCGGCCACACUGGGACUGAGACACGGCCCAGACUCCUACGGGAGGCAGCAGUGGGGAAUAUUGCACAAUGGGCGCAAGCCUGAUGCAGCGACGCCGCGUGAGGGAUGACGGCCUUCGGGUUGUAAACCUCUGUUAGCAGGGAAGAAGAGAGAUUGACGGUACCUGCAGAGAAAGCGCCGGCUAACUACGUGCCAGCAGCCGCGGUAAUACGUAGGGCGCGAGCGUUGUCCGGAAUUAUUGGGCGUAAAGAGCUUGUAGGCGGUUUGUCGCGUCUGCUGUGAAGGCCGGGGCUUAACCCCGUGUAUUGCAGUGGGUUCGGGCAGACUAGAGUGCAGUAGGGGAGACUGGAAUUCCUGGUGUAGCGGUGGAAUGCGCAGAUAUCAGGAGGAACACCGAUGGCGAAGGCAGGUCUCUGGGCUGUAACUGACGCUGAGAAGCGAAAGCAUGGGGAGCGAACAGGAUUAGAUACCCUGGUAGUCCAUGCCGUAAACGUUGGGCACUAGGUGUGGGGGACAUUCCACGUUUUCCGCGCCGUAGCUAACGCAUUAAGUGCCCCGCCUGGGGAGUACGGCCGCAAGGCUAAAACUCAAAGAAAUUGACGGGGGCCCGCACAAGCGGCGGAGCAUGCGGAUUAAUUCGAUGCAACGCGAAGAACCUUACCAAGGCUUGACAUAUACUGGACCGCAUCAGAGAUGGUGUUUCCCUUCGGGGCUGGUAUACAGGUGGUGCAUGGUUGUCGUCAGCUCGUGUCGUGAGAUGUUGGGUUAAGUCCCGCAACGAGCGCAACCCUCGUUCUAUGUUGCCAGCACGUUAUGGUGGGGACUCAUAGGAGACUGCCGGGGUCAACUCGGAGGAAGGUGGGGAUGACGUCAAAUCAUCAUGCCCCUUAUGUCUUGGGCUUCACGCAUGCUACAAUGGCCGGUACAGAGGGUUGCGAUACUGUGAGGUGGAGCUAAUCCCUAAAAGCCGGUCUCAGUUCGGAUUGGGGUCUGCAACUCGACCCCAUGAAGUCGGAGUCGCUAGUAAUCGCAGAUCAGCAACGCUGCGGUGAAUACGUUCCCGGGCCU
rnacentral:rRNA from 1 species